rnacentral:rRNA from 1 species
AACAGCUCAAAUUUGAAAUCUGGCUCCUCUGGGGGUCCGAGUUGUAAUUUGUAGAGGAUGCUUCGGGCAAGGCAGUGGUCUAAUUUGCUUGGAACAGCAAGUCAGAGAGGGUGAGAGUCCCGUCUGGGAUCGCCAGCCGCGUCCGGGUGAAGCUCCUUCGACGAGUCGAGUUGUUUGGGAAUGCAGCUCUAAAUGGGUGGUAAAUUUCAUCUAAAGCUAAAUAUUGGCCAGAGACCGAUAGCGCACAAGUAGAGUGAUCGAAAGAUGAAAAGCACUUUGAAAAGAGAGUUAAACAGUAUGUGAAAUUGUUGAAAGGGAAGCGCUUGCAACCAGACUUGCGUGUGACGGUUCCCCCAGCCUCCUGGCCGGGCUACUCCGUCAUCUCCAGGCCAGCAUCGGUUUGGGUGGUCGGUGAAAGACCGUGGGAAUGUAUCUACCUCCGGGUCGACUUACAGCCCAGGGUGCAAUGCGGCCCACCCGGACCGAGGAACGCGCUUCGGCUCGGAUGCUGGCGUAAUGGUUGUAAGCGGCCCGUCUUGAAACACGGACCAAGGAGUCUAACAUCUAUGCGAGUGUUUGGGUGUCAAGCCCCUGCGCGUAAUGAAAGUGAACGGAGGUGAGAACCCCUCCAGGGGUGCAUUAUCGACCGAUCCUGAUGUCUUCGGAUGGAUUUGAGUAAGAGCAUAGCUGUUGGGACCCGAAAGGUACGUUACUCCUUUUAUAUCCAUUCCUUUUUUUUGUUUGUUUUGAAGAUCUAUAUGCUAACUUAUGCUUGUUGAAAGAUGGUGAACUAUGCCUGAAUAGGGUGAAGCCAGAGGAAACUCUGGUGGAGGCUCGCAGCGGUUCUGACGUGCAAAUCGAUCGUCAAAUUUGGGCAUAGGGGCGAAAGACUAAUCGAACCAUCCGCAUGGCAUCUUGUAAAGAAACAGAUGUGUGAUCUUCGCAGGAUUUAUUCUUAUGGGAGUAUUGCAUUAUCGGUACAUCUUUAAGCGUUGCCAGGUGGUUAAUCUCCUAACGGUCGGUUGGGUCAGUCUGAUACCUUGGUAUUGGGCGACGUCGUCAGUCUUCGGGGAUGUCCUUACGGCUAUCCGAAGCCGUCCUUUUGUUGGGACGGUUCACAGACUAGACAGUGACGGCCGGAGCCUUUUGACCGGCGACGGUAAUUAUAUAGUCGAGUAAAGUUGUUGGAUCUUGCGAGUAUUUCAACCAGAAUACUCGGUAGACCGUACGUGAUUAUGUACGCCUUAUCUGCCUUGUAGGCUUCUUUGAGGUUGGUCUUGAGAGAACCCCGUAGCUUUUGAACGCUGGUAGCUGGUUCCUGUCGAAGUUUCCCUCAGGAUAGCAGUAACGUUUUCAGUUUUAUGAGGUAAAGCGAAUGAUUAGAGGCCUUGGGGUUGAAACAACCUUAACCUAUUCUCAAACUUUAAAUAUGUAAGAAGUCCUUGUUACUUGGUUGAAC